CGAGGCUGUCUUUGUUAACAGGAAGAAUUUCCACAGCAUCAAUGUGCAAAUAGUGUUCAAUGCGGCCUGGAAGAUUUUGGACAUUGUGGCUAAAUGGCCAGGCUCCACACAUGAUGCGAGAAUGCUCUCCGAGAGUGGCAUCAGACAGCUUUUUGAGAGACGCUAUGUGCCAGCUAAUUGCCACUUGUUAGGGGACAGUGGCUACCCAUGCAAACCAUGGCUCCUUACACCUUACCUCCAGCCACGCCAAGGGCCCCAACUAAACUAUAACAGGGCCCACAAGACAACAAGAGCGGUGGUGGAGCGUGGCAUAGGGCAGCUUAAAGGUUGGGUAGGUGAUUUGCGAAACGCCAGCAGAUUUUGAAAAUACACAACUCAAAUGGUCCUACCCCCUCUCCUUCAACGCUGACUCUGACUCCACCCAUUCCAAGUACCUGGACGCGCAAUCAUGCACGAGCGCGAACAGAGAUGCGCGAGAGCGAGCCAGGCUAGCGUAGGUUUUCGUUUAACAACAUGGCACUACAUUCAGCUGUAAGUUGCACCCAGUACCGCGGGAAGUAGGAGUGCUGGGGGUGCUGCAACACCCCCUGUCCGAGGCCCUGUCUUAUCACAGAAAACGAUCAUUUCUAAAAACUCCGGCCAAAGUGGAGAUUUCUGAAAACGCCGGUUAUGUGUUGUCGUGUCAACGGGGAGAAACGGGAUUUUAGGUUCUGAAGCGUCACAUUAUGCACCAGGAAAUGCUUAACGUCAUGUGAGCGCCCGCUGUACCGUAUUGGUCCGAAUGUAAACACAAACCCCAUUGUAAGACGACCUAUAUUUGGAAAAAAGAUUUGAAGACCAGAUCCGUUUUUAUGAAUAAAUAAAUUGUAUUAAUUGAAAUAAUAUACGAAAAUAAAAAGGCAUCGAAUAAAACACUGCAUUGCCACUAAACAGUAGUGCAAAUAGGCCGUAGGCCUACCGAUGUGUACACCAAAGACUAUUCCUGACACUCCUCUGCCCCGCUGUGUUCGCACUGGCUGUGGUCGCUCCGAACUGUUUCGGCCCGUGGCAAAGCGAGUCAUCCUCGCAGCUGUCCAAGGCAUUUUGAGACGCAGCAUUUAUUUAAUGCUCAUAUGACCUAGUGCUGAAAAAAGGUUAUAUGAAAAAGUGUGAGGGUAGCGGUGGUGCGCUAAACUUGUUCUGUGAGCAGCUGGAUGUGAACGAUCGAUUUUCAACUGUCCGCGCAUGCACUGGUGUAAUUGAGCUGCGCUGUUAUACAUCUUUUUUUAUCAAUGUAACGAGUUGCGAGUCUAGUGCAGGCUGAGUUUUUUUUUUUCCCAGCACCCCCUGCUGAGAAUACGUUCUCGCUGCAAUGGUUGGACCAGAUGUUAUAAACAUUAAACGGUCACAUAAAUCAUUACUAUUUUUAGAAAAUGUAUGUUUGUUUCAUAUAAUUGUAUUGGAAGUCCUGGUUUUCACUAGGGUUGCCGCGGUGUGGACAUUUUCACACCGAGUAAUACACUCGUCAAUUACUCUCUAAAAAAAGAGUUUUCCUUCUCUUUGCUGGUGGUGGUGGUGGUGGUGGGGAUGGUGGCGUCUUGUCUGCCAUGGAAAUUGUCUUCUACUGCUAGGUCCAAAUGUGGAUUAACUAGUUCCAGUAGCUACCGCAGGAUAACAACAAACAGGAGCUUGCUCUGGGUCACGAGCUCUGGGUCACGAGUACUGCGCGCGCGGGGCGCGGGGGAGGGGGAGUGCAGUACGACCGUUUGAUUGACGUACUUACUGUCCAAUGCAACUCGGUGGCAAUGGAAAUGAUUGGCUGGAGUUUUUCGAGCCCUGCCCGUUCCACAGAUGAUUGACUUGUUUAAUUUUCAUGUCAGUACUUCUAACUCAGUGGCUGUAAGCGGGUUAUGAUAAGGAUUUCAAGUAAUUUUGCAAAAAUGGCCAAAAAAGCAAAUCACCUAUACAACCUUUAAGAGGCGCUUUCAUGUUCUCCACGGAGAGGUGCGGCUGAGG
rnacentral:lncRNA from 1 species